rnacentral:rRNA from 1 species
UACGUAGGUGGCAAGCGUUGUCCGGAUUUACUGGGUGUAAAGGGCGUGUAGGCGGUAAGAUAAGUCAGAUGUGAAAUUCCAUGGCUCAACUGUGGCGCUGCAUCUGAAACUAUUUUUCUUGAGUGAUGGAGAGGAAAGCGGAAUUCCUAGUGUAGCGGUGAAAUGCGUAGAUAUUAGGAGGAACACCAGUGGCGAAGGCGGCUUUCUGGACAUUAACUGACGCUGAGGCGCGAAAGCGUGGGGAGCAAACAGG